UCCUGACAACGGCCGGACACGUCAUUGGCAGGCCGCGCGUCAGCCGCCCGCUGACGUCACGCCCCGGGAGAGGCAGGGACGAGAGGUGGGACCGGUUCCAGACCCGGCCGGCAGGGGGAGGCCUGGGGCGCUAAUGGCUUGAUCCUGCAGGUGGCCCAGGCCUGGGCUGACACGGCUCCCGCAAACCCCAAGACAUGGACACGUUAGGUUGACGGGAUGAAGAGGAGUCCCAGUUUCCUGUCUGUGGCCAGGAUCCUAACGAGGUGCGAGAUGCUGGGCCUUGUUGGGGGCGGGGCUGAAGUGGCGCGGAGCCACAGUGGGUGGGGCUGGGGCGCAGUGGGUGGAGUUUAGGCCUCCGUGGGCGGGACUAAAGCCGCAAUGGGCAGGGCAGAGACGAGCGCCCUCUGGUGAUGGAGACUGUUUUCUGAGUGGCCAGGAAGCAUGUCAACCUUUUUUGGCCUCAGUUUACUCCUUCGACUCCACUUCUCUCCUCCAGUGCAGAUCAGCCCUGGGGUAGGAGGCACAAGAGUCUUUCAUGGGGCUUCUCAAGUGGGGAAAGGAUUUUGGUCCUUGAGACAGGAUCUCACUAUAUAGGCCAGGCUGACCUCGAACUCGAGAUGAUCCUCCUGUCUCAGCCUUGAAGAUUUGAGCCAGAAAAUGAAGGGUACUGGGGUGAGAUCUUGAGGGUCCCAGAUGUGGGGGGAGGAGGGAAACACUAACAUUAAGGCCAAGAGGGGGCUGCUUGGAUGUGGAGCCUAGGAAGACGUCCUAAAAAUGUGAUGUACAUGUUAGAGAGAACUUGGAUGAUGGAAGGUAGAGAUGUUAGGCCCCAGAACUCAGGGUUGGAAAUCAAGAGGGGGCCCCCCCAGACCCAAGGGGUGGGAAGGUGCCCUCAAGGGGUGGCUCACACGUGUCGGGGAUACAGGGACUAUACCCUAUACCCCCAUCAGCUAGCUACUCCCUCUGGUGGAUAUGGGUGGGGGUGUUCCUGGCGGAGGGGUUCAGUCUUUGUAGGCCAGGCCAGGCCACGCCCCAUCCCGCCCGUGUCUCUCCGCAGAGGCCCCAGGAGACUCUGGAGGCCCCGCCCCAACAUGCUGGGGGCAGACUCCCAUCGCCCUAGCCGCUGUCUCUCAUCCCGUCCCCGCCUGGGCUGGGCCCAUCCUGAGCCCUUGGACCCUUGUGUCCCUCUGGCACCACGGCCCACCACACUGCCACUGCUGAUCCCGCCGCGGAUUUCCAUCACCAGGGCAGAGGCCCACAGCUGGCAAAACUUAGGCCCAGUGGAAUGAAAUGAUUUGCUCAAAGUCAAAUGGCCAAGAAGCGCCAGAGACCAGACUGAAGCCCAGGCCACCUGACUCUGGACCCUGUGACACUGGAACCGGCAGCUAGCAAAGGAAAGGUUGGGUACCUUGGCUCUGCAGAGGGUCACCACUGGGACCUCAGACUGUCUCCAGCUGUGUGUGUGACUGGAUCUGUCACGGAGGGGAGGUUGGAUUCUUGGGGCACUGGAGGCUUCCGGGGUUUGUUUUUGUUUUUGUUUGAAACAGAGUCUCACUAUGGAGUCCAGGCUGGUCUUGAACUCACUCUGUAGCCCAAACAGACCUUAAACUCUUGGAAAUCCUCCUGCCUCAGCCUCCCAGUGGUGGGAUUACAGGCAUGUGCCACCAAGCCAGACACCCCUGGGAUUUUGAGGUUGUCUCAGAAACAAUGAGGACGCAGCUAGGAAGAUGGAGACAUUGGGGGACUAUGAUAGUGUACCUCAAAGCAUGUCUGUGAUCUGUGGGGUGAACCCAGCGGCUGGGGUGUAUCCCGGGGUUGUGCGGAUGGCUAUUUCAGGGACAGUCAGAGCCCUGCUGAAAUGGAGAGGGCCCUGUGGGGUGGCCCUGGGGUCUGGGAGCCUGUCCGCCACUUCGGGGGUUUGUGGGCCCACCCCCAAAUUUUAAGGGCGGCUGCUGGGGUUUGAGGAGACGCUUCCGGCGCUGACAGGGCGGUCUGAGGCUUUGUGCGGCGGCGCCCGGGGUCUGCGGGGAACCCAGCCCCCGCUGUGUGGGCACCCCAAGCCCCUGAGCCCCGCCCCGGGGGCGGCCCCUUUGCGAAGCCGGAAGGGCCGAGGC
rnacentral:lncRNA from 1 species